AGUGAACGCUGGCGGUAGGCCUAACACAUGCAAGUCGAACGGCAGCACAGUAAGAGCUUGCUCUUACGGGUGGCGAGUGGCGGACGGGUGAGGAAUACAUCGGAAUCUACUUUUUCGUGGGGGAUAACGUAGGGAAACUUACGCUAAUACCGCAUACGACCUACGGGUGAAAGCAGGGGAUCUUCGGACCUUGCGCGAUUGAAUGAGCCGAUGUCGGAUUAGCUAGUUGGCGGGGUAAAGGCCCACCAAGGCGACGAUCCGUAGCUGGUCUGAGAGGAUGAUCAGCCACACUGGAACUGAGACACGGCCCAGACUCCUACGGGAGGCAGCAGUGGGGAUUAUUGGACAAUGGGGGCAAGCCUGAUCAAGCCAUACCGCGUGGGUGAAGAAGGCCUUCGGGUUGUAAAGCCCUUUUGUUGGGAAAGAAAAGCAGCAGGUUAAUACCCCGCUGUUCUGACGGAACCAAAAGAAUAAGCACCGGCUAACUUCGU
rnacentral:rRNA from 1 species